CCUACGGGUGGCAGCAGUGAGGAAUAUUGGUCAAUGGGCGCGAGCCUGAACCAGCCAAGUAGCGUGAAGGAUGACUGCCCUACGGGUUGUACACUUCUUUUAUAAAAGAAUAAAGUGAGGCACGUGUGCCUUUUUGUAUGUACUUUAUGAAUAAGGAUCGGCUAACUCCGUGCCAGCAGCCGCGGUAAUACGGAGGAUACGAGCGUUAUCCGGCUUUAUUGGGGUUAAAGGGAUAGUCGAUGGGUUGUUAAGUCAGUUUUGAAAGUUUGCGGCUCAACCGUAAAAUUGCAAUUGAUACUGGCAGUCUUGAGUACAGUUGAGGUAGGCGGAAUUCGUGGUGUAGCGGUGAAAUGCUUAGAUAUCACGAAGAACUCCGAUUGCGAAGGCAGCUUACUAAACUGCCACUGACAUUGAUGCUCGAAAGUGUGGGUAUCAAACAGGAUUAGAUACCCGAGUAGUC
rnacentral:rRNA from 1 species